rnacentral:sRNA from 1 species
GCGGUGUCAGGUCUAUCAACUUUACAGCCUUAGACUUACCUGAACCCUCGAUUGUCUGACAUAACUCAGAUAGAGUUUAUCAAUUGCGCAAGAUUCGCAAGGAACAUGCGUGUACAGACGCUGUAAAGGCGUCUCACAUCGCAUGACGGGAGAGUAUAGGUCACAAUAAGCAGAUAGUCUAUAAUUAUUGCCACUGAUGGGAGGACGACUCACUAGUAAUCGCAACGUCAUAUCCAGAAGGCUCAUUAUCAUCUCUCUUCUUGGCCCUUCCUUCUUGUCGCACUGCCUUCUGCCUCCCAUUGCUAAGGCCGAUCCUGGCUUGGUACUCUUUCAUUCUCCGCUUGGCCAUAAUUUCCCCUUCCAUUUCCUCUAACUGUCUUCUCAGCCUCUCACUGGGUAGUAGCUUAGUGUUCUCCCAGCCCAUUGGUUUCGUCAACGUGCUUUCGGGUGGCGAAUAGGAUGAGGGCCGAUACGCAGCGAGAAUGUUGAGCUCUUUGCUGCAGUUGUGAGGUUUGGUCUUCUUCCUCUUCUUCAAUGAUAUGGGCUGUGGCGUCUGGACAGGCGUUGGAGCUCUGGAGUCUAGCGAUGCAGGUCUGGUGUGCGACGCGUCAAUAAUCCUCGAAUCUGCAGCGGGGAUCUCCAGCCAUCUCAGCGACACUACUUACUCGUAUGAUGGUUUAGACGAUUGGCUUCCCAUGUGCUAUGGUAUCCUUCAUGCUCAAAAGGACAGAUGGGGACUAGACAUCAUAGAUCCACAGCUGGUUCAUAAUUUAUACAUCAUGGUUUGUUGACGCUGGUUCGUUUUAUCUGAUGCCAAGAGAUAUAAGUACUCAUACCCCACGUACUCCUCGCUCAUCGUACCUUACUAGAUUCCUGUGUGCGCCCUUUAUUUUAUUAUUUUGGCAGGUUCCGCAAACGUACGUAACAUACGUCCAGUAUCCAGCAGUAGCGACACUCCUUUUCCCUAUGUAUCGCCUCC